GACGAACGCUGGCGGCGUGCUUAACACAUGCAAGUCGAACGGUAAGGCCCUUCGGGGUACACGAGUGGCGAACGGGUGAGUAACACGUGGGUGAUCUGCCCUGCACUUCGGGAUAAGCCUGGGAAACUGGGUCUAAUACCGGAUAGGACCACUGCCUGCAUGGGUGGUGGUGGAAAGCUUUUGCGGUGUGGGAUGGGCCCGCGGCCUAUCAGCUUGUUGGUGGGGUGAUGGCCUACCAAGGCGACGACGGGUAGCCGGCCUGAGAGGGUGACCGGCCACAAUGGGCCUGGGAUACGGCCCAGACGCCUACGGGAGGCAGCAGUGGGGAAUAUUGCACAAUGGGCGCAAGCCUGAUGCAGCGACGCCGCGUGAGGGAUGACGGCCUUCGGGUUGUAAACCUCUUUCAGCACCGACGAAGCGCAAGUGACGGUAGGUGCAGAAGAAGGACCGGCCAACUACGUGCCUGCCGCCAGCGUUC
rnacentral:rRNA from 1 species